GCAAGUCGAACGAGGAACCCUGAUAUGAGUAUUCGUACAAAUUGAUGGAAUUCCUAGUGGCGAACGGGUGAGUAUCGCGUUGGUGACCUGCCCCAAAGAGAGGAAUAACAGUUCGAAAGGAUUGCUAAUACCUCAUGUUGUCGUGGUUUUUAGAAACCCAUGUCUAAAGGAGACUUGUCUUCACUUUGGGAGGGGCCUGCGUCCCAUCAGCUAGUUGGUAAGGUAACGGCUUACCAAGGCUACGACGGGUAGGGGACCUGAGAGGGUGGCC
rnacentral:rRNA from 1 species